rnacentral:rRNA from 1 species
CCUACGGGAGGCAGCAGUGAGGAAUAUUGGUCAAUGGACGCAAGUCUGAACCAGCCAUGCCGCGUGCAGGAAGACGGCUCUAUGAGUUUUAAACUGCUUUUUUACGAGGGUAAACGCAGAUACGUGUCUCUGUCUGAAAGUAUCGUACGAAUAAGGAUCGGCUAACUCCGUGCCAGCAGCCGCGGUAAUACGGAGGAUUCAAGCGUUAUCCGGAUUUAUUGGGUUUAAAGGGUGCGUAGGCGGUUGGAUAAGUUAGAGGUGAAAUCCCGAGGCUCAACUUCGGAAUUGCCUCUGAUACUGUUCGACUAGAGAGUAGUUGCGGUAGGCGGAAUGUAUGGUGUAGCGGUGAAAUGCGUAGAGAUCA